UCAGUGUUUAGGUGUAGGUUAAGGGUCUU
rnacentral:piRNA from 1 species